AUUUGCGAUAUGUAACUUAGCUCUGCAUCAAGAUCCUCUUCCUCACUGCAGUAUGUAAGCGCCCUUCUAUAAAAGCUCUAAAUGCUGACUUCUUAUAGCUGAUGGGGUCAUUUGACCAUCUAGGAAUGAGCACUGCAUUAUAUGCUGGUUUGAAGUAUAUUGCUCUCUUCAAUCUUCCUGUUUCCAAGCUUAUCUCUAGGUCCAAAAAAUGUACAGUUCUGUUUUUGCAUUGUUCCUUUCUCAAAAUCAAGCCAUAUUGUGGUAAAGUCAACUGGUGGUAUAUUUUUUUAUUGUUCUUGGGACUAUGUUUAGCCAAUAUAUUGGAAUGC
rnacentral:lncRNA from 1 species